rnacentral:rRNA from 1 species
CAAUAGCGUAUAUUAAAGUUGUUGCAGUUAAAAGCUCGUAGUUGGAUAUCAGAACUCGUGGAAUUGGCCCGUCGCCUUUGUGUGAUUGAGUGCUAGUGAAGCGGUUCUUUCUUUUCCGAGAAGGUGCUCUCCCUUUAAUUAGUGGUGGAGUUUUCCAACUUGGAUCUGUUACCUUGAAUAAAUUAGAGUGUUCAAAGCAAGCUUACGCUGUGAAUAUUUUAGCAUGGAAUAACGACAUAGGACUUUGUUGUCUAUUUCGUUGGUUUCUAGACUCGAAGUAAUGAUUAAUAGGACAGUUGGGGGUAGUUCGUAUUUCGUUGUCAGAGGUGAAAUUCUUGGAUUUCCGAAAGACGAACUACUGCGAAAGCAUUUACCAAGGAUGUUUUCAUUAAUCAAGAACGAAAGUU